GACGAACGCUGGCGGCGUGCCUAAUACAUGCAAGUUGAGCGCUGAGGGUUGGUACUUGUACCAACUGGAUGAGCAGCGAACGGGUGAGUAACGCGUGGGGAAUCUGCCUUUGAGCGGGGGACAACAUUUGGAAACGAAUGCUAAUACCGCAUAAAAUCUUUAAACACAAGUUUUAAGUUUGAAAGAUGCAAUUGCAUCACUCAAAGAUGAUCUCGCGUUGUAUUAGCUAGUUGGUGAGGUAAAGGCUCACCAAGGCGAUGAUACAUAGCCGAACUGAGAGGGGUGACGGCCAACAUGGGAACUGGGACACGGCCCAGCCUCCUACGGGAGGCGCCGGUAGGGAAUCUCCGGCAAUGGCCGAAGUCCGACCGGGGAAACGCGCGGUAGGGAAUGAGGGUCUUGGGUCCGAAAACUCCGUUUGUUGAGAAGAACGUUGGUGGGAGUGGAAAGCUCAUCAAGUGACGGUAACUACUCAGAAAGCGACGGCUAACUACGUG
rnacentral:rRNA from 1 species